rnacentral:piRNA from 1 species
UUCCAGGUGAAGGUGGUCAUGGUCUGAUUC